GGCAUAGGAAACCGCCAUGAGAUGAUGGGGGCCAUGAAAAAGAAAUGGAGGGCCACCAUGAGGUGAUGGGGGCCAUGAAAAGCCAUAGGAAGCCACCAUGAGAUGAUGGGAACCAUAAAAAAUCCAUAUGGGGCCACCAUGAGAUGAUUGGGACCACAAAAAAUCCAUGUGGGGCCAUUGUGAGGUGAUAGGGGCCAUGAAAAAGGCAUAGGGGGCCACCAUGAGGUGAUGGGGACCAUGAAAAACCAAAUGGGGCCACCAUGAGAUGAUUGGGACCACCAAAAAUCCAUGUGGGGCCCUUGUGAGGUGAUAGGGGCCAUGAAAAAUCCAUAGGAAGCCACGAUGAGAUGAUGGGAACCAUAAAAAAUCCAUAUGGGGCCACCACACGGUGAUGGGCACCACCAAAAAGCCAUGGAGGCCACCACAACAGGGCCCACAAGACA